rnacentral:rRNA from 1 species
GACGAACGCUGGCGGCGUGCCUAAUACAUGCAAGUAGAACGCUGAAGGAGGAGCUUGCUUCUCUGGAUGAGUUGCGAACGGGUGAGUAACGCGUAGGUAACCUGCCUGGUAGCGGGGGAUAACUAUUGGAAACGAUAGCUAAUACCGCAUAAUAGUAGAUGUUGCAUGACAUUUGCUUAAAAGGUGCAAUUGCAUCACUACCAGAUGGACCUGCGUUGUAUUAGCUAGUUGGUGGGGUAACGGCUCACCAAGGCGACGAUACAUAGCCGACCUGAGAGGGGGGUCGGCCACACUGGGACUGAGACACGGCCCAGACUCCUACGGGAGGCAGCAGUAGGGAAUCUUCGGCAAUGGACGGAAGUCUGACCGAGCAACGCCGCGUGAGUGAAGAAGGUUUUCGGAUCGUAAAGCUCGGUUGUAAGAGAAGAACGAGUGUGAGAGUGGAAAGUUCACACUGUGACGGUAUCUUACCAGAAAGGGACGGCUAACUACGUG